rnacentral:rRNA from 1 species
GUCGAACCUCUUUCGGCAGGCUUAUCACAUGCAAGUCGACGGUUGUAGCAAUACAGCAGUGGCAGACGGGUGAGUAACACGGUGGGAACCUUACUAGGGGUACGGAACAACUUCAGGGAAACUUGAGCUAAUACCGUAUACGUCCGUGAGGAGAAAGAUUGAUCGCCCUUAGACGGGCCCGCGUCGGAUUAGCUAGUUGGUGGGGUAUCGGCCUCCCAAGGCGACGAUCCGUAGCUGAUCUUAGAGGAUGAUCAGCCACACUGGGACUGAGACACGGCCCAGACUCCUACGGGAGGCAGCAGUGGGGAAUCUUGGACAAUGGGCGCAAGCCUGAUCCAGCCAUGCCGCGUGAGUGAAGAAGGUCUUCGGAUUGUAAAGCUCUUUUGCCAGGGACGAUAAUGACGGUACCAUGGAGAAUAAGC